UACAGAGGGGGCAAGCGUUAUUCGGAAUUAUUGGGCGUAAAGGGCGCGUAGGCGGCUUUUCAAGUGACGGGUGAAAUCCCACGGCUUAACCGAGGAACUGCCUGUCAGACUGGAAGGCUUGAGACCGGGAGAGGUGAGUGGAAUUCCAGGUGUAGCGGUGAAAUGCGUAGAGAUCUGGAGGAACACCAGUGGCGAAGGCGGCUCCCCGGGCCGAUUCUGACGCUGAGACGCGAAAGCGCGGGGAGCGAACAGG
rnacentral:rRNA from 1 species